GAGUUUGAUCAUGGCUCAGAUUGAACGCUGGCGGCAUGCCUUACACAUGCAAGUCGAACGGCAGCACGGGAGCUUGCUCCUGGUGGCGAGUGGCGAACGGGUGAGUAAUGCAUCGGAACGUAGUCCUGGAGUGGGGGAUAACGUAGCGAAAGUUACGCUAAUACCGCAUAUUCUGUGAGCAGGAAAGCGGGGGACCUUCGGGCCUCGCGCUCUUGGAGCGGCCGAUGUCGGAUUAGCUAGUUGGUGAGGUAAAGGCUCACCAAGGCGACGAUCCGUAGCAGGUCUGAGAGGAUGAUCUGCCACACUGGAACUGAGACACGGUCCAGACUCCUACGGAGGCAGCAGUGGGAAUUUUGGACAAUGGGGGCAACCCUGAUCCAGCCAUGCCGCGUGAGUGAAG
rnacentral:rRNA from 1 species